rnacentral:rRNA from 1 species
CCCUUAGAUGUUCUGGGCCGCACGCGCGCUACACUGACGGAGGCAGCGAGCGUGUCCUUCGCCGGCAGGUGCGGGCAAUCUUGCGAGUCUCCGUCGUGCUGGGGAUAGAUGGUUGCAAUUGUCGAUCUUGAACGAGGAAUUCCUAGUAAGCGCGAGUCAUCAGCUCGCGCUGAUUACGUCCCUGCCCUUUGUACACACCGCCCGUCGCUACUACAGAGUGCCCGUGUCCAAGAAACGGUCGGACCUGUGCGGCCUCUCCGGGCGACCGGAGGGCCGUUACGGGGAAGACCCUUUAUUUGACGCGGGUCGAUGAAGCAAAAGUCGUAACA